rnacentral:lncRNA from 1 species
UAAUAUACUCUCAGUAAAUCUAAUUAGGUUAAUUUGCACUGUAAAUCCCAUAAAUGAAUUGUACAAAUUCUUGGACAAUUUCGAUUUAAGAUGCCAAGAUCCAUUGAUUUUUUAAUAAAUAUCUUAAUAAUCAUGCUAGGCCAUAACAUCAACAUCAACAGGGAAAUUAAAGAUGUACCCAAAUUUUGUGCUUCAUCAAUCUCCAUCCAACACUAAAUUUGAAAAAAAAAUAUAAAUCAUAUUUUAAAUUAAAGAAAUUUAUAGUUUUUUGUGAUUAAAAUUAUUCUCAAGUUCUCAUCAUUGACUUGCUAAUCCAUAAAACUGAGGUACUUUAGUAAUUAAAAUUUAUUUUUAAAUGUGAGUUUAGUGAGUAAUUUUGUAGACUCGAGAUAACUUAUUAAAAAAUAAAUAAAUAAGAAGCUGAUGCCACGACUCUUGAUGUCUAUAGAGCAUGUUCCACAAAUGCUGUUUGUGACCCCUAAGUGAUGACGUGUACAUGACAUCUCGCUUAUGAACAUGGGCUUUAAAAAUUACGGCUUUCCACGUGGUCAGCUUCUGCCACUUGUGAUCUACGUGUCCUACCCGCUUGCCUAAAACCUUUCAACGGAUAGUUUGCUUCUGGUUCAGGUGAUUACUGUAAGUUAUCAGAUGCAACAAUAGAUACAUCCGUUUGACACAGCAACAGUAACAGGCUCCACCAGCAGUACUGUUAGUGUGUGGGCGUAAGUUACGUUAACGUAACUUAGCGCCUGCCGUUUGACUACAUGUAGCAAGUUGCAUGGAGCUGGCUACGUUACAGAAACUGUAUGUAACAGAACUGAAUUGACAAGCAAAUAAAUUAGAUGCUGCCAUGUGUAGGGACGCGUGACAAAUUGACCGGUAAUUAUCCGGUUAAAAGAAAACCAACGAACUUCGAAUGCUUGAGUAAGGAUUAAUUUCAUAUUAACCCCAUUAUUAUUAUUAAUCAUUAGCACACACUAAGUUUGAUGCAAGCCAUCAACCCCACCCCAAAAUAGUCAAAUUGUUGUCUUACGCGGUCAAGUACAAUUACUGGCCAUUUCUAACUAGCACAAAGACAUCAUUGCCCUUAAUUAAACAUUAGGUCAAUGUAAAAAAAUAAAUUAAUUUAUUUUUUAAUUUAUUUUUAUAAAAACUAAGAUUUAUGUAAAUAGAUAGAAAUUUAUUUUUUUAAAGAAUAAAAUUUAGAAAUGUAGUACUGUAAUUAAUGAAUAAAAUUAUAUUUUAUGUCAUAUGAAUAUAUGGGUAAAUUUCAUUGUAUGCUCAAAUAUACUGAUUAUUGUUAAUCAACUCUUGGUAAAGCAUCUUUUUAUUUUUAUUCCUCUUUUUAUGGUCAAAUGAUAUUUUAGAGAAAAAAAUAUGUUGACUAAAGUUAAACUCUAAUUGGUUAGUAAACAAGUUCAUUUUUUUAAAAAAUAGUAAACGAGUCAAAUUUGAUUUUAGAACCUUUUUGUUAAAAAAAAAAUCUGACUACUAAAUAAAAAUAAAUUUGAUUUCACUAAAUAUUCGUAUAUUACUGUAAAAAUUGACAAGUUAUAAGAGAUAUUUUACCUGAUCAAUUUAAUUCAAUUAAGACAUGAUAGUUUUUUAAUUCAAUAGUAGAAAAGUUAACGG